GGUCUUGUAGUUUAAUAAAAACCCCAAAUUGCAAGUUUGACAAUGAUUUUUUCUAAGACUU
rnacentral:tRNA from 1 species